GAGAGAGAGAGAGAGACAGGUUGAGGUUUCCAGGAUCAGAGACGUCCCGUGUGAGAGAGAGACAGGUUGAGGUUUCCAGGGUCAGAGACGUCCCGUGUGAGAGAGAGAGAGAGACAGACAGGUUGAGGUUUCCAGGAUCAGAGACGUCCCGUGAGAGAGAGAGAGAGAGAGAGAGAGAGACAGGUUGAGGUUUCCAGGAUCAGAGACGUCCCGUGUGAGAGAGAGACAGGUUGAGGUUUCCAGGGUCAGAGACGUCCCGUGUGAGAGAGAGAGACAGGUUGAGGUUUCCAGGAUCAGAGACGUCCCGUGUGAG
ensembl:lncRNA